AGAUGCAGAUGGCCCCUGGUCUCAUUAAAAGAAAAUAGUUGUUAAAGGUAGUUAAAUUUCUUCUACGUAUGUGUGUGUAUUCCUGUAUUUAUAACACAUAUUGUUAUCCUUCUAAAUAAGAUAAUAACAGACCAUUUCAAUCUAGUGACAAUAAUAGGGUUGCAAAACCCUACUGGAUUUUUCUGAAUUUUUUUGCACUUACCUAAGCCAAGUAGAUGUCAGAGAACAAUGCCACCUUUAAGACCUUUAAGUUGUUCUCACUCAUGUUGUCCAGCAGGUGGAGAUCUGUUAAUGUGUUUGACUGGAAGAUCAAGAGGUUUGAGCAGCUUUAUGGAUCUAUCAUGGCAUUCUGUGUCUGUCUUUACCACACCGCGAGACACAGACAAACUCAGAACAUUAAUUGGCCAUAAGCACCGUUUUUAAACAUAAAUUGAUGCUACCCCCAAAUAACAUUCUGUUUACAUUGCAUUUACAUUUAUUCAUUUAUCAGAUGUUCUUUAUUCAGAGCAACUUACAGUUGAGGAAUACAGCAAAUGAUAAACAUGCGAAGUGCCUACUAUAACCAAAAUAAUAGGAAGGGACAACAGGUAAUAAGAGAACAGAAAAAAUGAAGGCCCUGAGCAGCUGCUCAUUAAUUAGCUCAGUUUUUGCCAGGCUGAGCUGCGGGUGAUGUUGAUUUAUCAAUAAUUAGUUGUCUGAGACAUAGAGAUGCAUGUCAUUAGCAUAGCAAUGAAAGGAAAACCUGAUUAAUGAGUCCCAGUGAUGAAGUGUAUGCUGAGAAGAGGAGGGGUCCAAGAACCGAUCCCUGAGGAACCCCAGUGGCCAGACCAUGUGAUCUGAAUACCUCCCCUUGCCAUGGCAGAGAAGUAAGACCAGUGCUGUGUUAAAGCCUUUGCAGGGCCCUGGGCUAAUGAUGGUCAUACGCCGUAUGCCUGGAAAUACAGAUCAAACCGCAUUCUCGUACAGAAUGCUUUUCUGAUGCCUCAAAUAUAGGCCAAUUCCAUAUGAUAAGGAACAGUUGGCUAUUUAAAACCCUGGGUAAAACUCACUCAAUAUACAAUAGAUGGUAUUAGAUGUGUGUACAGAUAUGUUAUGUAAAAAUGCAUAUAAGUAUAUUUGUUAAGUAAAUAAAUGUAUAAAUAGUGAAACACAUUUAACUCUCUACACAACAAUUUUCUUUGUUGAAAAGCAGGAUUUUUCCCAAAUGUUCUAGUGACCCUGGUGCAAUGUUUACAUGUGAACAAACAGCCAAACUGUAGAAAAAUAUAACUGUGUUCAUGUGGAAAUAGACCUUUAACCACCAUUCAACGUCCAAGAUUGUUAGUGCUUAAAGCUGGUUAGCUAAAAGCUACUUCAGUUUCAUAACUAAACAAACCAAUUUUAGAUCCAAAAGUGCAUAAUUAAAUACAUAAUCUGUAUAUUUCUAUUCAAUUCUAUUUAAUACCCCUGUUUGAUCCCAAUUCCAGAAAGAUAUCUCUCCAUCAGUAUCAGGAGUUUCACUUCCACGCUGUCAGCUGAGCAGAACUAAGCAUGAUGGGAAAUGAAGCUCAUGUCAUCAGAUGAAAUACAUUUUUUGGUCAUCGAACAUUCGUGCUAAACUCAUGACAUAUUUCUAUAUGCUGUUAUUUUAACUGUGCAUUUGACAUUAACAGUGAAAAACACCCACAUACAUGAAUGAAUAUAGGAUGUUUGUGAGGACCGUCUGAUGGGCGGGGCCAUGGCUCUGAGGGGCGUCGCUUGUUCUAAGCAUCUGAUGCAGGUAAAGAUGUUCAUCUAGAUUCAGCUCAGAGCUUCUUUCUCCUUAUGUAACAUAUCAAAGCUUGUCUUCUGUUUCUGGCGGUAAUCAGGUGAUGUGUAUAGUUUUCUUUUUAUUUUGGCAAUGGGUUUCUGCUACAAGUUUCGAUGGGCACGUUGCAAUGGGCAGAAACAUUAUGGAUCCUGGCCAGUUCGGCACCAAAAUUCAUCCAUUUCAAAGAGGGGUUUGGACGAACUGACAGUGAUUCAACUGCGGGAGUACAGCUCUAUGACCUAAUGCAAGCCCUCUAGAACCAUGACCUGAGCCGAUUAUACUGGACUCCAAGAGACUUUCUUCUGCUGAGCAGCAGAGGAGGCUGACUGGGGGUCUGUGUCUGUAUUGUGGAGCUGGUAGGCAUUUUGUAUCCAGACUAGAUGGUGGAUCAGCACCCAGAGA